rnacentral:rRNA from 1 species
CUGGUGUACCAGUUGUCGUGCCAACGGCAUAGCUGGGUAGCUAUGUGUGGACGGGAUAAGUGCUGAAAGCAUCUAAGCAUGAAGCCCCCCUCAAGAUGAGAUUUCCCAACUUCGGUUAUAAGAUCCCUCAAAGAUGAUGAGGUUAAUAGGUUCGAGGUGGAAGCAUGGUGACAUGUGGAGCUGACGAAUACUAAUCGAUCGAAGACUUAAUCAAAA